CUGUUUCCUUCAGCGGGGCCCGAGACGGAGCACGUAGCUUCUCCUUGCACCGUUCCACAAGGCACGGGAGCGAUCGGAGCACACUAUCCAACAGUGAGUCGAGAGUGUUCGUAGCGCGUUUUCGAGACACGAGUCGAGAGAGUUUGGAGCACUUCUCCAACACACGAGCCGAGAGAGUUUGGAGCACUUUUCCAACACACGAGCCGAGAGAGUUUGGAGCCUGGAUGUUCUCGAGACGAGGAGCGAGAGCGGAUCUGAAUCCCACUUCUGAGUUGAUCUAGGCCGGGUUCGAGAAAUCAACUGGUUUCUUUAGUAACAAGGUUCCAGACUCCGACUGACUUGCUCCGGAUCCGCAUCUUCCUCGGAGCCGGGAGAUGACAGCCGGAAGAUACUUCUAACGCCAUCUACCUCCGCUUUGGCUUCGCACGCCACCUACUCCACGCCGCCAUCUUACAUAUACUGGGUGAGUAUAGACUAGUGACAUUUAUUCUUCUCUUACAUAUACUGGGUGAGUAGGAACUAGUGACAUUAACUUUCAGUCUUACAAGACCUAUAAUCAAAGAUGCGCCAAUGGCCCCCCACCAUGACUGCUAUCCACCAUCUUGUACCCAUACGGUGACUGGAUGGGGGCUGGGGCCGGGGGCUGAGGUCUGGGGCUGGGUCUGGAGUAGUACAGAUAGUAAACAAUGCGAGCCUGCUCCAAGUUGUAUGUAGCCAUAUAACAGAUGCAAAUUUAA